CGUACCUUUAAUCCGUAACACGGUUGUUUAGCUUAUGAACAUGUGGAAGGGGAGGAAGGAAACAAAAAUGUUGUGGUUGAUGAUGCGGUAGUGCCAGACCUUGAUGUACCAGAAAUCAUGGUUUGAUUUGAAGGAGUUUGAACAAAACCAUGAAUGAGAAGAAUCUGAACAUAUACCUGAAGCAAUUCCAGCGGCUAAUCCUGCAUGCCUCCCUGCUGAAUCCCGGCGAGCUCUUCUACAUGCCUCCCUGCCGAAUCCGACCACGAGUCCUGUCCAAUCUGGUAACCUAUAACAUUUCACGCUCACCCCCUCCAGAUGACAACUCCCUCCCCGGAUCACUUCAUAUGGCAGAUACUCCGAUUUCAUGAUUUACUUAACAAUACUUCGUAGGCUAUUUUAUAGUAUUUAGUAGAUGACGAGGGUUCAGUGAAGUCUCCCUUUGGAAAAUAAAAUAAAUUAUAAUGGCCACUUACCUUUAAA